CUCACGUCUUCCAAAUGGCGGUCAUCACGACCUGCCACUAGAUCUUGCUAGUUCGCGUGUUAGCAAUGAAACACACAUACAGCUCUAGCACGAUUUGUAUAACUAUUUCAAUAUCAUUGGUUUACUUUGUAAUCCUUUGGUUUUUUAUCCUAGGCUUCUGAAAACAUUGUUCUGAAAAGGGUCCACAGGCUCCCUAUCAUCCCGAGAUGAGAGAAAGCUGACCUAAAAGAUGGGCUCCUUCCACCACUCCUCAGUUCUUCAGCCGACACGGCCCAUCCAGGCCAUGGGUCCCAGACAGGGGCUCAGACACCGUGGCCACAGAACACAGGAACUCCUCAGGUGCAUGACUAACCCUCGAGCAACAGCCAGCCUUCCACAGCUUGCCCACGAGGACCCGGUGCCCCGCCAGGCGCCGGCCCUGAGCGACGUGCAAAUGCAUUCUGCAGGCAGCCAGCCUCGGCUCUUCCUCAGCAGCGGCCGAGGGGCUGUGAAGGGACCCUUUUCCUCGCAUGUGACUCCCCCAGAUAGUGCAUGUGUGUCUGAAACAUGCUUCCGCGCAGAGGGAAACUCCGAUGAAGGCGGAGCCCCCUGCUCCGUCACCAGUACUCCAGCCCCCUGUGGCCCGGAGGGCCCCAGAUCCCCUUCUCCAGAUCACUCCUGGAACCCCAGAACGGUUCCCUGGGAUCCAAGACCCAGCAAAGGAGCCCACAAAGGAAAAUAACCUUGAAAUUGCAGGAUCAGAGGCCUAAACAAAGGCAGGCAAAUUGUAAGUGCCCCACGGGCUGGCCAGAGAGUGGCCCUCUGUGCUGGCACUGGGCAGGGCCCUGAGGAGGGAGCUGGGCUCCGUGGGUAUAAUGGAGCAGCCCGGGGCUUCACAAGGGCAGGUGCUCUGCACACAUUGCAGGGCUGCGGGUGCCUGGAUGGACCAUGGAUGCAUCUACUGUGCUCUCCUGUUCUCAGUGCUAGAGAUGUUCACUUCACCGUGCCAUCACAAUCUCUGUCCUGGCCAUGGCUGGCAGGCCCAACAACCCCAUGCCAGAAAUGAUUUAAUCUAAGCAUGAACAAAGGAUGCAGGAGCAGAGGAGAGAGUGGCUCACGCUCCUGGGAGUGCUGGGACCUCCUCUGGGUUGGACACUGUCAUGCACCACCCGGAUGGAUCUCCCUUCAAGGAAGAACUUGCUUCCGCAGCUGCUGGGAGUGGUGGCAGCAGACAGCCCUUAGCUGUCAGCCCCUCGCCAUUGCCUCAGCUGCAGGGAGUUGUCUUCUCAAGGUCAUGCCCUUUGCCAGGCAGCCCACAUCCGCGACGGAUCAAUGUGAGGUGCUGGGAAAAGCUGCCUCAGCCCAAAGCAGGUCCACUGACUGGGCCAUGCCAGCUGCAGAGCUUCUGCAGGUCCGGCCGAGGCUGUCAUCGGGCCUGCUCGGCAGCUUGACUUCUCCCUCCGCCCGUACCUGCUCCCUACCCCCUGCCCCAGGUUCCCAGGGCCCUCCUUACUAAACAUAAACCCCUUCUCAGAGUCUGCCUCCCAGGGAACCCAACCUGCAACUACUUUCCCUAAAGAGGAGGCAGCGUUGUCCACCAUGUGCAGGGCCCAAGGCAGGAUGCACACCCCUUGGUGGCUGCCCCCGUUAGCAGCUGGCAUCACGAUGCUGAACGAGGAGUGGUCCCACUUGCACACAGCUAUGCCUAGUGGGCUGACAGUGUAGAAAGGGCAACAAUAGACCCUUUCUUGGUGUUCUGAGGAGCACCAAGGGAUGUAUUUGCCUGAAGGGGUAAGAGGUGGCUUCCAUAGGAGCUGACAGUGCGUGCAGCUUUGAAGGAGGAGAGACAGUCCACAGGCAGAGGAGAGACAAGGCCCAGGGUGGAGGUCCUGCACCCCGAAUAUUUGCGUCGCCACAGAUGCGUGGAGAAAGGAGGCCUGUUGGAGGCCUAUGGAAGAAAUUGUGAGAUGAUCCAGGAGAUGUUUCCAGAAAGGUAGGCGGGGACCAGCCCAUGAGGGCCUCAUUUGAGCUUUAGUUUGGGGACAAUAGGGAGGCUUUGAGGAGUUUUAAGCAGGGGAACAUCAACAUCACGUUUGUUUGCUGGGAAAAUGACUAGGGUGGCAGAGACUGAUGGAAGGCGAGAACCCAGUUGGAGGACCUGAAUGAGAACCAAGGUGGGCUGAACUAAGAGGGCAG
ensembl:lncRNA